rnacentral:rRNA from 1 species
UACGUAGGGGGCAAGCGUUGUCCGGAUUUAUUGGGCGUAAAGAGCGUGUAGGCGGCCAUACAGGUCCGUUGUGAAAACUGGAGGCUUAACCUCCAGACGUCGAUGGAAACCGUAUGGCUAGAGUCCGGAAGAGGAGAGUGGAAUUCCUGGUGUAGCGGUGAAAUGCGCAGAUAUCAGGAAGAACACCCGUGGCUAAGGCGGUUCUCUAGUACGGUACUGACGCUGAUGCGCGACAGCGUGGGGAGCAAACAGG